rnacentral:lncRNA from 10 species
UAUUUUUACUGACCCUUAAAUUCUUCAUAAGUAACUGCAAAAGAAGCCAUUAUCCCAACACAUGAAAUAAAAAAAAAAUUCAGUUCCUCUGGAGUUUGUUUUUGGAGGUAGCCACAGGAUACCUAAAUUUUUUUUUCUUUUCAGAGAGACCGAGGGGCUCACUAGGUUGACCAGGCUGGUCUUGAACUCCUGGCCUCAAGCCAUCCUCCCACCUCAGCCUCCCAAAGUGCUGGGAUUACAUGCAUGAGCCACCACAUCCAGCCUCCCUAAAAUAUUGAAUGCUGUUAAUAAAUCUCCUAAGAAGGUGAUGGGCAAAACUAAUGCAGGGUUUCAGUUGUGCAAUUUCACCAUUAGCAAAGCUUUUUGCUGAAAUCUGGAUUUUCAAAGGGAGAGUAUCCAGAAACAGAAGAUGCUGAUCUGGGAGGCUCUUCCUAAUAGAACUGCUGCUUCAGUUUAGCUUGAAAAAGCCCACACUCAGUUCCUAAUGACAAACAUCUGAACACCAGGUCUUCCCACGAGCAAGACCAUGCUAUUCCUCCUGCUCGCUCUGUUCUAUAAGCAACCCACAGAUUGCUCCCUGUGAAGAGGAGCCUGCCAGGGAGCAGCAUUCCACCAGAUCCUGAUUUAGCAAGAUAUUUCCGUAUCAUUCCCCCAACCAGCUGGAAGUCCUCCACUGUUCUUGUGUAAAAAUCUAACUCAUCUCGCUGAAUUUCCUGAUUUAAAAGUCUAAUUCAUUUCACCAAAAGUGUGACAGAAGGAAACCAAGUACACCAUCUCUCUCUUACCAAACCAAAGCUAUUGCAUGUGCAUUCUGGGAGAAAAAAAUGGUCCAAAUAUGUUAUGGAGGGGGUGCCAGCCCAGUGUCAUCCUCUUACUAUUGCCAUAGGAUCUUGGCUGAUGGCAUCAGAAGAAAAACAAGUUUAUCGAUUACUUUCAACCAUUAAGCUCACUCCUCCAUGAAAAAUAAGUCACAAGUCCAAUGUCUCUUAUUAAAAUAAGCACUGCAAAAUAUAAAGGACUCACAGUUUUAAAAUGGGACACACGUUCUCUAAGCGGUGAACCACUUUAGAGGUGUACUGUUUACAUUGUAUAAAGUCCCCUGGAGCCAGGGUUAGGAAGCGCAUCUGUUCUUUGGUGUUCUGGGAUGAAGGAGAAAGGAAAAUGUGCUGCCAGAAGUGAGUGGGAAGGAGCCCAUGAGAUAAAGGAAGUAAAUCCAUUUGCUGAUUGCAAUAAUAAUGGUCAUCCUCCGAAUGAAUUUAUAUUACCGAGUGGAGGGUCACAUGAAGAAAAUGGUCAAACAGCACCACCUACAGCAAGAGCUGAGAAGUGCAGCGGAGCCGGGCUGAGUCAGGAAAGAAAAGCAAGCUGGGGCCUGGCUCAGAGCUCUCCCCUCUGCUCCUGUCUGCACGGAAAGAUUAGGAUGACAGUGGCAGGAAGCCUGUGCACCUAGUAUGCAUCACUUGAAGGGAACACACAGAUUCCAGUAAACAGUUGGAAGGAAAUGUUAAUACCAGGCUCUGCUAAACAAUAUGAAAUGACUCCUAGAUGAGACAAGUGACUUUCAUCAAAGUUUCCUGAUACCUGAAAAGAUAGCCCAGGUGAUCCUGCACUACAUCUGCUGUAUGUAAAUUAAGCGGGUUUUUUUCCCCUUUGUAAUCAAGGCUCAUACACAAACAAAAUCACACUUUAGAAACGGCUUAUUUCAACUUGUAACUAGCUUGCUUUCAGGGGCUCCAGGUCAAAAAGAAAUAGAGCACAAAGACGCUUUCUCCUUAGGGAUCAUACACAAAUUCACUCUGUCCGUUUCUUUCCCACAUGGAGCAACAAAGCCAUCAGACCUCUCCAUCCACCCAUCGGGUCCUUCCUGAUUAAAGUGAGAUAAAUCACAGCCCUCUCUCUCCAGAUGGCAGGCGACAAGAGGGGGAUGCUUGCCUCAAGAAGUCCUCCCCAUCCCUCUGCAUUCAUGCAAGCCCGAGCGGAGAGAUGCAAGAAAUUAUGGAUGCAUUUUAAUUGCCCAGACCCUGCAAUUAAAAAUGGAAAUUUUUUGGCCACGCGUGUUGGCUCACGCCUGUAAUCCCAGCACUUUCGGAGGCCGAGGUCGGCGGAUCAUUUGGGGUCAGGAGUUCGAGACCAGCCUGGCCAACAUGGUGAAACCCUGUCUCUACUGAAAAUACAAAAAUUAGCUAGGAAUGGUGGUGGGAGCCUGUCGUCCCAGCUACUCGGGAGGAUGAGGCAGGAGAAUCACUUGAACCCGGGAGGCAAAGUUUGCAGUGAGCCAAGAUCGCACCACUGCACUCCACUCUGGGUGACAAAGCAAGACUUCAUCUCAAAAAAUGUUUUUUAAAAAUGGAAGUGUUGUUCUUUCAUUUGUAAAUGUGUUUUGGUAAAAGAGGGGCAGUUUAAGCAACCCUUUUUUGUUGUCUACAUUGUUAAAAUUCAUCAGACAUGGACUCUUGACUCCGUUUUGCCUGGGCAGACCCAAUUCAAGCAUUUACAACAGCUAUAACUUCCUCAAAUCAAAAAGAGGAAUCAGCAUUAUUGCUAAGUUCAAAUAAGGUCUUGUUUUAUUUCAUUUUUAUUUUUGAAUGCAGCCAUUCCUCCAGGUGCUAUCAUCAGUUAAGGUGCCUGGUCUUAAAAUGUGUUGAAGCAAAAGAAUGGGAAGAGCCAAGGGACACAUCAGGGAGUUUCCAAAUGACAGAACUGCAAACCUGCAGGGCAGUCCUCUGCUGCGGAAGAGGGAGCUUACACUCUGAAUGCAUCUUGAGGAGUAUUCUCCAUACCUGAGGAAUAAAUUAAGGCUAACAAGGGGGCCUAAAUGGUGAUUGGCUCUGCUCUUGACCAAUUGAAUCCCAUGCUCGGACUGAGGCAGCAGAGGGCUUCUUACACCCACCUCCACCACCAUCACCCUGCCUAAGUCAUCUCAGAGAAUCCUCUUUCUAUCUCAGUAUUGGGCCUACAUUCUUAUGCUUCAGCCCUUUUCCAUAAUGACCCCUCCAGAUUGCCACACUCUAGAACCACUACAGAGGGUGGCGUUACUGCUGUAUGGACACUUCAUCUCAAAGUGAGGGGCCAGCUCACAUGAUUUGCAGGGUUCCUUUCUCUGGCCUUCUAAAACAUUCUCCAGGUUGAGGCUGAAACUGCUCCCCCAAAGCCCCAUAAUAGGCAUGAACAGAUUAUCCUCCUCUUCUUGGUUCUCAUGGCUAGAAUCCUUAACUAAUCCUCUCCCCACAAAGUAGGGUUGAUUUCACAAGCUGUUAUUUCAGCUGCUUGUUCUGCCAUCUGCUCUUGAUUUGCUUGGUGAACACCUCCAGCGUGCUUGGAGCUGCACUGUCACGCUUCGCCCCAAUCAGCUUCUGGCCCCCCACACUCAAACACAUCUGCAUCGGCACACCCCUCCCACGCCCCAGUUCUGCCCACAAUGGAUCCAUCCAUCUGUGCUCCAGGCCCCAGCCCCUUGGGAGCUUGCGCUAUCAAUUACUUGCACUUAGUUCAGAAUCUUUAGCCACUCCAUGUCCAUGGUUAUUUCAUUUAUUCAAUGUAGUAACAUGUUUAAACCUCUCCCGUCCUGGAAAAAAAAAGUCCUACAUUUAACCCUAUCUCCC